AUUGAACGCUGGCGGCAUGCCUUACACAUGCAAGUCGAACGGUAACAGGUCUUCGGAUGCUGACGAGUGGCGAACGGGUGAGUAAUACAUCGGAACGUGCCUAGUAGUGGGGGAUAACUACUCGAAAGAGUGGCUAAUACCGCAUGAGAUCUACGGAUGAAAGCAGGGGAUCGCAAGACCUUGUGCUACUAGAGCGGCCGAUGGCAGAUUAGGUAGUUGGUGGGAUAAAAGCUUCACAAGCCGACGAUCUGUAGCUGGUCUGAGAGGACGAUCAGCCACACUGGGACAGAGAGACGGCCCAGACUCCUACGGGAGGCAGCAGUGGGGAAUUUUGGACAAUGGGCGCAAGCCUGAUCCAGCAAUGCCGCGUGCAGGAUGAAGGCCUUCGGGUUGUAAACUGCUUUUGUACGGAACGAAAAGCCCUGGGUUAAUACCCUGGGGUCAUGACGGUACCGUAAGAAUAAGCACCGGCUAACUACGUGCCAGCAGCCGCAGUAACAC
rnacentral:rRNA from 1 species